GGGGCUGUGGCUCAGUGGUAGAGCGCUCACCUUACAUGUGCAAGGCCCUGGGUUCGAUCCUCAGCACCA
rfam:Ictidomys tridecemlineatus contig092042, whole genome shotgun sequence.